GACGAACGCUGGCGGCGUGCCUAAUACAUGCAAGUUGAGCGCUGAAGGUUGGUACUUGUACCAACUGGAUGAGCAGCGAACGGGUGAGUAACGCGUGGGGAAUCUGCCUUUGAGCGGGGGACAACAUUUGGAAACGAAUGCUAAUACCGCAUAAAAACUUUAAACACAAGUUUUAAGUUUGAAAGAUGCAAUUGCAUCACUCAAAGAUGAUCCCGCGUUGUAUUAGCUAGUUGGUGAGGUAAAGGCUCACCAAGGCGAUGAUACAUAGCCGACCUGAGAGGGUGAUCGGCCACAUUGGGACUGAGACACGGCCCAAACUCCUACGAGAGGCAGCAGUAGGAAAUCUUCGGAAAUGGACGAAAGUCUGACCGAGCAACGCCGCGUGAGUGAAGAAGGUUUUCGGAUCGUAAAACUCUGUUGGUAGAGAAGAACGUUGGUGAGAGUGGAAAGCUCAUCAAGUGACGGUAACUACCCAGAAAGGGACGGCUAACUACGUG
rnacentral:rRNA from 1 species